UACGUAGGGACCGAGCGUUGUCCGGAAUUAUUGGGCGUAAAGAGCUCGUAGGCGGUUUGUCGCGUCUGCCGUGAAAGUCCGGGGCUCAACUCCGGAUCUGCGGUGGGUACGGGCAGACUAGAGUGAUGUAGGGGAGACUGGAAUUCCUGGUGUAGCGGUGAAAUGCGCAGAUAUCGGGAGGAACACCAAUGGCGAAGGCAGCUCGCUGGGGCGGUACUGACGCUGAGACGCGAAAGCGUGGGGAGCAAACAGG
rnacentral:rRNA from 1 species